AUACGGAGGAUCCGAGCGUUAUCCGGAUUUAUUGGGUUUAACGGGAGCGUAGGUGGACAGUUAAGUCAGUUGUGAAAGUUUGCGGAUCAACCGUAAAAUUGCAGAUGAUACUGGCUGUCUUGCGUACAGUAGAGGUGGGCGGCAUUCGUGGUGUAGCGGUGAAAUGCUUAGAUAUCACGAAUAACUCCGAUUGCGAAGGCAGCUCACUGGACUGCGACUGACACUGAUGCUCGAAAGUGUUGGUAUCAAACAGGAUUAGAUACCCUGGUAGUCCACACAGUAAACGAUGAAUACUCGCUGUUUGCGGUAUACAGUAAGCGGCCAAGCGAAAGCAUUAAGUAUUCCACCUGGGGAGUUCGCCGGCAACGGUGAAACUCAAAUGAAUUGGCGGGG
rnacentral:rRNA from 1 species